rnacentral:rRNA from 1 species
UCUGAAUCUGCGNACGGCUCCGCAAACCAGUUGUAAACCAAAGCAAGCAUACUCGCGGUUUGCCCUUCACGGGGUGGGUUACGGGUGAUACGGAUAACCCUGGUAAUUUUGAGGAUAAUUCGAGAAUGUACUCCCAGGCUAACCGGGUAACUGGUAGGCCGGGGGGCGUGUGAUCUAUUUGCAAGACGAUUCCAGGAAGGGGUGCACGCUCUGACCGCGAUAAAGACAGUUCCGGUAAACCCUCACGGGCGAGCCGGUCCUGAGCGGCUCUUGCGAUGUGCUUCUGACCUAUCAACUAGACGGCAGC